CAGCAGCCACGGGAAUACAGAGGGUGCGAGCGUUAAUCGGAUUUACUGGGCGUAAAGCGUGCGUAGGCGGCUUCUUAAGUCGGAUGUGAAAUCCCUGAGCUUAACUUAGGAAUUGCAUUCGAUACUGGGAAGCUAGAGUAUGGGAGAGGAUGGUAGAAUUCCAGGUGUAGCGGUGAAAUGCGUAGAGAUCUGGAGGAAUACCGGUGGCGAAGGCGGCCCCCUGGACAAAGACUGACGCUCAGGUGCGAAAGCGUGGGGAGCAAACAGGAUUAGAUACCCCGGUAGUCCCUGUCUCUUAUAC
rnacentral:rRNA from 1 species